GGGGUGAUGCCUCGAAAGGUACGCUAAUACCGCAUACGCCCUGAGGGGGAAAGCGGGGGAUUCUUCGGAGCCUCGCGCGAUUGGAGCGGCCGAUGUCGGAUUAGCUAGUAGGUGAGGUAAAGGCUCACCUAGGCGACGAUCCGUAGCGGGUCUGAGAGGAUGAUCCGCCACACUGGGACUGAGACACGGCCCAGACUCCUACGGGAGGCAGCAGUGGGGAAUUUUGGACAAUGGGCGCAAGCCUGAUCCAGCCAUGCCGCGUGAGUGAAGAAGGCCUUCGGGUUCUAAAGCUCUUUCGGGCCGGGAAGAAAUCGCAUUCUCUAAUAUAGGAUGUGGAUGACGGUACCGGACUA
rnacentral:rRNA from 1 species